rnacentral:rRNA from 1 species
UUUAUUGGAGAGUUUGAUCCUGGCUCAGGAUGAACGCUGGCGGCGUGCCUAAUACAUGCAAGUCGAGCGAAUGGAUUGAGAGCUUGCUCUCAAGAAGUUAGCGGCGGACGGGUGAGUAACACGUGGGUAACCUGCCCAUAAGACUGGGAUAACUCCGGGAAACCGGGGCUAAUACCGGAUAACAUUUUGAACCGCAU